AGCAGUUCAUCUUGGUGUCUCACCACACCCUCACCCCUUUGUAGGAUGGAGGGGUCCACAUGUUGCAGGUGCCUGUGUGGAACCAGGAGGAGGUAGAAAUUCACAUCCCCAUCACCCGCAAUCUGAGCAUUUUGACACUCCCGUGGCAACCAAAGAUGGGCCCCUAUCAGUACACAGUUCAGUGGUCGGAGACAAGUUAAAAUCCGGGAGUUUUUAUGCUUUUUCUCUUUUGUGGGGUUCCUAUCACAACAUUGCACUUUGGGAAUCAGAAAAACAACCCAGCAUGUCAGACCAGGAAGCAAAAUAAAGAAACCCUGGCACACA